AUCAAAGCCUGAGCAAACUGCUCUCGUGCACCGCCCGCUGCCCUCCUGUCCCAGCACUCACUGUCAUCCAUUUUCCUCUUGUCGCUGCCAGGCUGAGCGAUGCCCAGGAGCCCAUUGAUGGAACACAUAUACUCACAGAAAUGAGUUAUUUAAAGAAGACGGUCCAGAUUCCACAGUCCAAAAAAAAAAGAGGUUUGCCCUGCUUCUGAAGGAGUCAGGGUAUGAAUGCAGAGGUCUUCCUGUUGGCUCACAUAUCAGAUCUUCAACGUCAACAUUAAAUGCGAGUGAUGCUUCCCCCUCUGUGAAUGUGGCUUUGGGUAUGGCUAAUCCACACCCUGCACUCUGGCCUUCAGAAGCCCAGGGAGAGAAGCCUCCCAGAAGCAACCUUCCAGAACCUUCUCCAUCCUCCCACCGACCUCCCCAGCCCCUGUCCUCUCUUUGAAUCUCGUUGUCAAGUUCUUCCCGCAGACACCUGGCUCCUUGAGGGGAGGUGCAGCUUUCAUCUGACCAUGCAGGCGUGCUUUGCAGUGGGUAGAGCAGUGCUUUCCUCCUCCCAGCUGCACACUGGAAUCACCUGGAGAGUCCAGAAACUUCCCGCCUCAGUGAAAGAACAUCAGUGUAUCAGCACAGCAAAUAUUCCAAAUGCCAGGCUGGAUUCCCUCCAAUUACCAGGACCUCCAGGCUUCUCCUCCUUUCAAGAACUUUCUGACCCUGGAUCCAGUCUAAAUGUUGGUUAUAAACUCACCUGACAUCCACAGGGCCCUUCCAAAAUACUGUCAAGGCUGACUGCUGGUGCCUGGAACCUGCACACCCUCCUGGGACUCUGCAUCUCUGCUGGGGCUGGUUUCUCCUCUGAGCCACCUUAAGGAAUCCCACCCUGACCCGGUCAGAGCUCACCAUGCCUCCCUCUCCUACUUGCUCAGCAUUUUGUGUCUAUCUAGACUGAAGCCUUUGCUUUCUCUCUGUGAUUAUGGUGAAAGUUCAGUUUGCUUUCCUAUCUCUAGAAUGUCAGCACGAAGGCAGAGGCAUGGUCUCCUGAGUUCCAUAACCCCAAAGCCUAACUCCCUGCCUGCCACACUGAGGGGCUUAGUAGACAUUGACUUACUAAAUUGAAUAGUUGAGUAAUAAUGCUCUUUGAAAUAAUUUGGAGUUAGAUCUUGAGCCUUGUGUGGCCAGAGGAUGGGUGAGGACACAUCAUAAAAACUAAAGGUAACUGAGCAUGCCAGUGGUUGGGGUGAGAAAUUUGCAUGGAGCACUCCAGACACAGAGGCAGCAAAACCCAAGUGCUGGGAAGUCAGAGUGAGAGAGUGAAGGGGCAGUGAGUGCUUCUUUAGGAGCUGGAUCAAAACCUAAGAUGAUCUGGCCACAUGGUGCAGACUGAGCACACACUUGGGAGAGAAAUGGGCCAGGAGGAGAGGAGAGAGGUUCACCACAGGACAGUGGAUGACUGGGAAUAGAAGCCCUCCCCAUGGUGGACCAAGAAGUCUGUGAAGCUGAGAGAAAGACAAAAGAAAUCACGACUUCUGUAGGUAGCUGGGAUGGAAACCUCAGGGGUGACAGGGUCUUUAAAGGAAAUCUCAAGGAAGGCAUCAUGUUCUGGGUGUGCUCCAGGGAUGCUGAGUAAGAAAAGACCAGCCUUUCUGUGUGUGUCUUUACUCUGCCACAAGGCACCUGGGCUCCUAAAUGACCAAUACACAUGUGCUAUACUGGUGCCAAGAAAGAAGGGUGUUUUGUAGGAAAGUCAAGGUGAGAGGAGGUGCCCAGGACUUGGCUCCUUUCUUUGAAGGGUGACGGUGUAAAUUCUCCAUGCUGGGGAUCCUACUGAUGGAUGGAGGCAUGUCGAUCUCAUCAUUUCACAGAGUGGGGAGCUAUGGCCACAACGUGCCUAUCACACAAGUCCAGCCUCACGUCAGCUGGACACCAGCUGUUCUGACACUUGUCAGCACAUGGGGCACCCGGAAGUUCAUGGUGUUCUGCAAAGAACGCCACAAAACAGUGAGCUCAACUUCUUGAAAGUCAUAAUGUGUUGCUAAGUCCGAUCCCAGAUCCUAAAAAUAAUAUGAGGUAGUGGCCAUUGAACAGAAAAAAUUUACAUCUUAAACUUGAAGAUAAGUACAAGUGUACCUUUUUCUACCACUGUUGUUCAGUUUUAUUAUAUUGACAAGCACCUCUGCCCACCCUGUGGGGUAAAACUGUUUGAAAGUGUUUAUGAAAGUUUUAUAUAAAUAUUGGUUGAUCAAAUGUACAAAAUAUGCAUGAUGGCACCAUAUUGUGUAUAAUAGUGACAAAUACAGUCUAUGUGGGUGGAGAAACAAGCUCGGUGUUGUGCAUGCGGCUGUGGUUUGUGUUCACACUUCUCCUUUAGAGUGUAGUAGACAGAACAUGCCUGAACUGCCUGGGGCUGAGGGGUCUCAGGCGCAGAGUGGCCCAGGAAUUCUGAGCAAGGACAGAAUGUUAGAGAGAAUAUCCUGAGCU
rnacentral:lncRNA from 1 species